rnacentral:lncRNA from 1 species
AGUCAUCAUCUUCCACCCUGAAGUGACACAUGUCUCCAGCUCACAUGGAAUGGAACAUGNNNNNNNNNNUUCAAACACACACGCUUUAUAACCAAUGUGUGCAGUUAAUGCAAUCAUCACAGGGUCCUUAGGCGACAUAUAUCCUCAGCUUACAAAGAUGACGGGAUUAAGAGAUUAAAGACAGGCAUAGGAAAUUAUAAGAGUAGUGAUUGGGGAAGUGAUAAAUGUCCAUGAAAUCUUCCCAAUUUAUGUUCUUCUGUCACGGCUUCAGCAGGUCCCUCCAUUCGGGGUCCCUGACUUCCCACAACAUCUCUCCCUUUCUUUAUAUAUAAAUAUGCCAUGGUGAUGAAGGCUUGUUCAUUCUCUUGAAUUUGACGCAGGAUUCUUUGACUGGUCUGGCACACUAAAGACAAGCCGAUUAAACAGAGAAACAUAAUUCCAAAAUUUACUACAGUGGAGCCCCCAAUAGACUUAAUCCAAGUUAUGGGGUUUAGUCCAGAAAGAUUUUCUGCCACCUGAUCUAAUGCCUCAGCUCCAGGCACAAUGGAUAAAUGAGCUUGAGAGAUUUCAAAAAUUUGUUUCUUUAAUUUAGUUAUGUCCAAUGAUAAAUUAUCUUCCCUACCCAGAAGGUGUCCUUUGACCAUUUCCCAUGAAUGAUCAGUCUCAUUAUAGGAAUACAGGGUGAUUUAGAAAUUAGAGGUAUUCCAAUCGCACUGCAUUUGCAUGCGAUGCUCAAGACUCACUACCCAAUCUCCAAGCCAAAUAACAGACUGAAAUCAUUAAUUUGAUUAGCCAAUUUUUGAUCAAUGCCUUGUUGAGAUUUCCUCAUUUAGGUGGAAUUGGCUUGCCAAUCAUUAACAAAAUGAGCUGUUUGAAUAGAUUGAUGUAACGCCAUUCUGGCAGUGGUGGCCAUUGCAGUGACUGAAAUUAGGCCCAUGAUCACAGCGAUUAAAGUGAAAACAAAUCUCUUAGAUCUUUUUAGAAUUCGCUGUAACACUUCAUUAAUUCAGUGUAUUGAGGGGGAGGAUUCCCAAGGUCUGGGCAAAGUUACCAGAAUCCAGAUUCCUUCUCGAGCUCGAACCAACAUUACACUUUUCCUGGAGUGA